rnacentral:rRNA from 1 species
GUUGUAUGGUUAAGUGACUAAGCGUACACGGUGGAUGCCUUGGCAGUCAGAGGCGAUGAAGGACGUGCUACCCUGCGAAAAGGGUUGGUGAGCUGGGAUGGAGCGCUAUAGCCAACCAUGUCCGAAUGGGGAAACCCACCUAAGAUAACUUAGGUAUCGUUAAGUGAAUACAUAGCUUAACGAGGCGAACCGGGAGAACUGAAACAUCUAAGUACCCCGAGGAAAAGAAAUCAACCGAGAUUCCGUUAGUAGCGGCGAGCGAACGCGGAGCAGCCCAGAGUCUGAAUCAGUGGAUGCGUUAGUGGAACGGAUUGGAAAGUCCGGCGAUACAGGGUGAUAGCCCCGUACACGAAGACGCAUUGCUGUGAGCUCGAUGAGUAGGACGGGACACGUGGUAUCCUGUUUGAAGAUGGGGGGACCAUCCUCCAAGGCUAAAUACUCCUGACUGACCGAUAGCGAACCAGUACCGUGAGGGAAAGGCGAAAAGAACCCCUGUGAGGGGAGUGAAAUAGAACCUGAAACCGUGUACGUACAAGCAGUGGGAGCACCUUCGUGGUGUGACUGCGUACCUUUUGUAUAAUGGGUCAGCGACUUACAUUUUGUAGCGAGGUUAACCGAAUAGGGGAGCCGUAGGGAAACCGAGUCUUAAUAGGGCGAAUUAGUUGCAAGGUGUAGACCCGAAACCCGGUGAUCUAGCCAUGGGCAGGUUGAAGGUUGGGUAACACUAACUGGAGGACCGAACCGACUAAUGUUGAAAAAUUAGCGGAUGACUUGUGGCUGGGGGUGAAAGGCCAAUCAAACCGGGAGAUAGCUGGUUCUCCCCGAAAGCUAUUUAGGUAGCGCCUCGGACGAACACCUACGGGGGUAGAGCACUGUUAAGGCUAGGGGGUCAUCCCGACUUACCAACCCUUUGCAAACUCCGAAUACCGUAGAGUGCUAUCCGGGAGACACACGGCGGGUGCUAACGUCCGUCGUGAAGAGGGAAACAACCCAGACCGCCAGCUAAGGUCCCAAAGUCAUGGUUAAGUGGGAAACGAUGUGGGAAGGCUUAGACAGCUAGGAUGUUGGCUUAGAAGCAGCCAUCAUUUAAAGAAAGCGUAAUAGCUCACUAGUCGAGUCGGCCUGCGCGGAAGAUGUAACGGGGCUAAACCAUGCACCGAAGCUGCGGCAAUGA